UACAGAGGUGGCAAGCGUUGUUCGGAAUUACUGGGCGUAAAGGGCGCGUAGGCGGUCUUGCAAGUCCUGUGUGAAAUCCCUCGGCUCAACUGAGGAACUGCACAGGAAACUGCUUGGCUUGAGUUCGGGAGAGGGAAGCGGAAUUCCGGGUGUAGUGGUGAAAUGCGUAGAGAUCCGGAGGAAUACCAGAGGCGAAGGCGGCACCCUGGGUCUGACCUGACACUGAUCCGCGACAGCAUGGGGAGCGAACGGG
rnacentral:rRNA from 1 species